GCACUAGAUAUUUUCAGUAAAUUUAGGACGGCAAUGUUGAACGCAAUGUUGCUGGCCACAUAUAGAAGGGGUAGCAAGGGAGCUCCUUCACACCCUGAAAGAGACAUCCACUAAUAUUUGAGAAUGCAAACAUUAAGGAAUGGGAGCACUUUGCUCACGAUCCAGUUCCUUACUCAAAGGUCGAUGUUCAAUUCCUAACAAUCUCAUCCUGGAGAUACCUUACCCUCAUUCUGUUCUCCAAAGAAAGAGCCCGUCUCAUUCGAAGAAAGUAAAGAAAGACCAUACCUUGCUUCCUUAAGCAUAUUACUCUAAAUAAAGUGACUACUGACUAGGUCAACAAAUGUGACGAACAAGGGAAUAAUUUUCUGUGGAAAACUGAGAAAAGUUGAUAUUACAUGCAUCUUUUUUAUCAACCACUUCCCAUUCUCCUUUCCUUUAUAUUUACUUGCUAAAACCAUUUUUUCACACGUGUUUAUAUAGUGUGAUAACCUCCAAACAGGAAAUCAGAAAAUUCUAGUAGGCAUAAAUCUAUGCUAGAAACAGGGGUAUAAAGUAAAAUAUACAUUUCAGACGAGAAAACUUGCCUGCGCUAUUAACUCCAAUGUUCAGAAAGCAUGCGCCUCCACUUGCAAAAUACUGUGGCAGUUGGUCGAAUGGUAUACCUUUGAGGUUUGAUAGUAAAGGGAGUAAAACAAGAACAAAAAGAGCCUAGAAACCGCAAAAAAAAAAAAUUGUCAGUUUUUUAAUUUUUAUCAUAUGGAAUAAGGAAGGAAGUUCAAUAAUUAGCAAUUGAUGAAAGGUUUACCUGACAGCCAGAUCCAAACGAGUUGACUACAAAUAUGUCAAGAGACUUCUCCUGCGUGCAGACAGAAUCAAUGUUUAUAUACCAUGCCCAAAAGAACAUAGGAAAAAAGAUGAAAUCCCAGAAGCCUUCUUUAUCAGAAGAAUGAUGCAAGUCAAGAAGAUUGUAUGAGAUAGUAAUGAUACCUUGAGACGUGCUGCAGCAUCAACAAAGAUAAACUCCUGUUCACAAAGAUCAUGCUUUUAGUUUGAGUCUAGCUAAAUGGCUAACUACUUCUCCGUCUAACACCCAAUGCAUUAACAUCAUUUUCCUUACUAAACCCAAGUUAGCUUAGAUACAUGGAGACAUUAUCGACGAUACACAAGGAGUUGGAUAGACAACUAGUUAGCUAUUGGUGUCUUUCCUUUUAAGUUUGAAGUAGUAAAUCUGUCAAACAUAUCAUAAGCUGUAAAUUAAUAAAUAACAAUAGAAUAAGACAAUAUCACCUUCAAGAUAGAUGCUGCAGCAUGGAAAGCACCUGAAGCAAUCAUUAGAGCUGGCCACACAAAUGCAACUCCUGAAAGAACUUGGUGACCAUCGGAACCACUGCAGCAAGAAAAAAAAUACAACGAUAUUACUCAGUUGAGGCUGCAACUGUUAACUAAUUAUUUUGACAUGAUUACAUUCAAGACUUCAGAAUUUUUAUUUCUAAUUCCAUGCUUCAGACAUCCCUAGCCCAACCCUAUGAAAAAAAAUAAACAAAAAAGGAAAGAAAAGAAAAGAAAAGAAGAGGAAAUAAAUUUGCCUUUGUACAGAGUGUCAUGUACAAGAAGUGAAUACAAUGUACAAGACAAACCAAAAUCAGCAAAUUCAAAAACAAUAAUCCUCUUGCAGAAAGCUAUUCAUUGACUGUCCUCACUAAAGAACCUGCCCCAAUGUAGCCUUUCCAAAGCCAGAGUUGUUGAUGCACAAAAUGUACACAAAGUACUACAUUUGGUACCCUAUGGAAGUUGUACUGUAUACACCUUCAGAAGUGUUAUUUCUUCCAUAUAGAGUUUAUGUUUGGGGAUCAGAAGAACAGUUCUUAGAACUUGAGAAGCUGUAGUUCAAUACGAGAACUGCGGAAAAUUUUGGAUCAGAAAUCGCUCAUUAAGGCUUGAUUGUAUCUCAUCAUGGAAACAGCAGUGGUGGAGCAAUUUAAUUAGUUUAUGUGCUAGAAAUAUAGAUGAAGACUUGAACAUGCCUAGAGACUGCAACGACAACACCAGCAGCUACAAGCAAGCAGCCGACUAUUUGCAUAAACGAAUAGCGCCUGCCUAAGACGACAAAAGAGAGAAGCAGCUGCCACACCAGAAAAGUCUGCAGGAGGGCUCAGAAGAAGGUGAUAUCAGAGAUCAAAUUUAGCAGAUAUUAAGAUCUUAUUUUGCUUAAAACAUAAUCAAAGAUUUAAAAAGGUAAUAAUUUGUAGUAGAUAUUAAUGUUUCUGCUUCAGACCAUAAUUAUAAGAAUUGUCUUUCAGGCAAAAAGAUGAUAUUCUAAUACCCCACAUUCCACAGACAUAUUGUAAUACAAAUCUUGCAGUGAGGAGGUGAGGAUCCAAGUCAUCCCACUAGGUGAUAUCCGCAAAAUCAAGGCCAAUCAAGUGAGGGAAGCAUACAACUCACUCAAUUUGUACUUUGUACUCAAAACAGAUUCCAUUAUUACAAAAAAUAAACCAGAACAAAGACAAAGGGAGCAGGAGUGACCUGAAAUUUCUAUGCCGACAUAUUCAUGGCAGAAUCUCUGCAAGAAUCUAAUAAAUACCUUCCAUUCUUACCAGUUGCACCCAAAAGGCCACACCUCAAGAAAAGGUAUUACUAACACAAGUGUGCAAGGAUAAUUUGAAGGAAAAAUGCAUAAUUGAGAGGUAAGAGUAAAAGCUGGGAGAGAAAAAAAAAAUAGUGAAUUAAUUACUCCUUCCGUCCACAACUAAACGUCCUGUAAACGAAAAAAACUGCAUACUGUUUUGGUUAUUCCACAACUAAACAUCCUGUUACCUUAAAAUGUAACAUAUACCCUCCCUACCCGGCCUACUCAACCCAUGUUAUGUGGACCCUUCCACAAUUAUCUUGUUUCCUCUCUCUCAAUUUUAUAUUUUCAGUUUUGCACUAUCCACCAAAAAAAGCAUAUACUCCCCCAUUUUUUCCCUCUUAAUAUUCAUGCAAAAUCCUAAGAGAACAUUUAUUUGCACAGAGGAAGUAAUAACUAAAGCAUGCUUAAAAUAAGUAAAAUAGUACAAGAAGCACUCAACUAAGUUAGCUUCAUGAAUAUUUUUAUACAACACCUCAAACAUGUCUGU